rnacentral:tRNA from 1 species
CAGUAAAUAGUUUAAUAAAAAUAUUAAUUUUGGAGAUUAAUGAUGAGGCCUGCCUUUUUACUGA